UUAAAGAGUAAACCGAUUGUAUACCGCCACUGAUAAACACCAGAAUAAGCGAUAUUCGCUGGGCCAAGAGCACCCCCUCGAGUAAAAGCUUCCACGGCCGGUUGACCAAAAUGAGGAUCCCAAAUUGCAUGAGCAAUAGGUCUUACAUGUAAAGGGUCGAGUAAAAGCUUCCACGGCCGGUUGACCAAAAUGAGGAUCCCAAAUUGCAUGAGCAAUAUGUCUUACAUGUAAAGGGUCAUGUACCCACGACUCAAAAUUUCCUUGCCAACCUACAUGAAACAGAUUUCCGUAAGGCCACAGAAAAAUUAUUGCUAAUUGACCAAAGUGAGAAGCAAAAAUAUUCUGAUAAAGACGUUCCUCAGUAAUAUCAUCAUGACUCUCGAAGUCAUGUGCGGUAGCAAUACCAAACCAAAUACGACGAGUAGUGGGGUCCUGAGCUAAGCCUUGGCUAAACCUACGU
rnacentral:lncRNA from 1 species